AGAGUUUGAUCCUGGCUCAGGACGAACGCUGGCGGCGUGCUUAACACAUGCAAGUCGAGCGGUAAGGCCUUUCGGGGUACACGAGCGGCGAACGGGUGAGUAACACGUGGGUGAUCUGCCCUGCACUCUGGGAUAAGCUUGGGAAACUGGGUCUAAUACCGGAUAUGACCGCAUGCCGCAUGGUGUGUGGUGGAAAGAUUUAUCGGUGCAGGAUGGGCCCGCGGCCUAUCAGCUUGUUGGUGGGGUAAUGGCCUACCAAGGCGACGACGGGUAGCCGACCUGAGAGGGUGACCGGCCACACUGGGACUGAGACACGGCCCAGACUCCUACGGGAGGCAGCAGUGGGGAAUAUUGCACAAUGGGCGGAAGCCUGAUGCAGCGACGCCGCGUGAGGGAUGAAGGCCUUCGGGUUGUAAACCUCUUUCAGCAGGGACGAAGCGUGAGUGACGGUACCUGCAGAAGAAGCACCGGCUAACUACGUGCCAGCAGCCGCGGUAAUACGUAGGGUGCGAGCGUUGUCCGGAAUUACUGGGCGUAAAGAGUUCGUAGGCGGUUUGUCGCGUCGUUUGUGAAAACCCGGGGCUCAACUUCGGGCUUGCAGGCGAUACGGGCAGACUUGAGUGUUUCAGGGGAGACUGGAAUUCCUGGUGUAGCGGUGAAAUGCGCAGAUAUCAGGAGGAACACCGGUGGCGAAGGCGGGUCUCUGGGAAACAACUGACGCUGAGGAACGAAAGCGUGGGUAGCAAACAGGAUUAGAUACCCUGGUAGUCCACGCCGUAAACGGUGGGCGCUAGGUGUGGGUUCCUUCCACGGGAUCUGUGCCGUAGCUAACGCAUUAAGCGCCCCGCCUGGGGAGUACGGCCGCAAGGCUAAAACUCAAAGGAAUUGACGG
rnacentral:rRNA from 1 species